rnacentral:tRNA from 1 species
GGCCGAAUGGUGUAGCAGUUAACACUAUGGACUUUGAAUCCAGCGUCCUAAGUUCGAGUCUCGGUCAGACUU